rnacentral:tRNA from 1 species
GCCUCCGUAGCUCAACUGGCAGAGCAGGGCACUCUUAAUGCCAAGGUCACAGGUUCAAAUCCUGUCGGGGGCA